AUACGUAGGGUGCGAGCGUUGUCCGGAAUUACUGGGCGUAAAGAGCUCGUAGGUGGUUUGUCGCGUCGUCUGUGAAAUUCCGGGGCUUAACUCCGGGCGUGCAGGCGAUACGGGCAUAACUUGGGUACUGUAGGGGAGACUGGAUUUCCUGGUGUAGCGGUGAAAUGCGCAGAUAUCAGGAGGAACACCGGUGGCGAAGGCGGUUAUUUGGGCAGUAACUGACGCUGAGGAGCGAAAGCAUGGGUAGCGAACAGGAUUAGAUACCCUGUUAGUCCUUGCCGUAAACGGUGGGCGCUAGGUGUAGGGGUCUUCCACGACUUCUGUGCCGUAGCUAACGCAUUAAGCGCCCCGCCUGGGGAGUACGGCCGCAAGGCUAAAACUCAAAGGAAUUGACGGGG
rnacentral:rRNA from 1 species